GAUGAACGCUGGCGGCGUGCCUAAUACAUGCAAGUCGAGCGAACAGAUAAGGAGCUUGCUCCUUUGACGUUAGCGGCGGACGGGUGAGUAACACGUGGGUAACCUACCUAUAAGACUGGGAUAACUUCGGGAAACCGGAGCUAAUACCGGAUAACAUUUGGAACCGCAUGGUUCUAAAGUGAAAGAUGGUUUUGCUAUCACUUAUAGAUGGAUCCGCGCCGUAUUAGCUAGUUGGUAAGGUAACGGCUUACCAAGGCGACGAUACGUAGCCGACCUGAGAGGGUGAUCGGCCACACUGGAACUGAGACACGGUCCAGACUCCUACGGGAGGCAGCAGUAGGGAAUCUUCCGCAAUGGGCGAAAGCCUGACGGAGCAACGCCGCGUGAGUGAUGAAGGGUUUCGGCUCGUAAAACUCUGUUAUUAGGGAAGAACAAACGUGUAAGUAACUGUGCACGUCUUGACGGUACCUAAUCAGAAAGCCACGGCUAACUACGUG
rnacentral:rRNA from 1 species